rnacentral:rRNA from 1 species
UACGUAGGGUGCGAGCGUUGUCCGGAAUUAUUGGGCGUAAAGAGCUCGUAGGCGGUCUGUCGCGUCGGCUGUGAAAACUCGGGGCUCAACCCCGAGCCUGCAGUCGAUACGGGCAGACUAGAGUGCUGUAGGGGAGACUGGAAUUCCUGGUGUAGCGGUGAAAUGCGCAGAUAUCAGGAGGAACACCGGUGGCGAAGGCGG